rnacentral:rRNA from 1 species
GACGAACGCUGGCGGCGCGCCUAACACAUGCAAGUCGAACGGAAUCAAGAGGAGCUUGCUUCUUUUGAUUUAGUGGCGAACGGGUGAGUAACGCGUGGGUAACCUGCCCUGGAGUGGGGGACAACAGUUGGAAACGACUGCUAAUACCGCAUAAGCCCACGGUACCGCAUGGUACUGAGGGAAAAGGAUUUAUUCGCUCUAGGAUGGACUCGCGGCCAAUUAGCUAGUUGGUGAGAUAACGGCCAACCAAGGCGACGAUUGGUAGCCGGACUGGUAGGUUGCAAGGCAACAUGGGGACUGGGACACGGCACAGACUGCUACGGGAGGCAGCAGUGGGGGAUAUUGCACAAUGGGGGAAAGCCUGACGGGGCAACGCCGCGUGAGUGAUGAAGGUCUUCGGAUCGUAAAACUCUGUUGUUAGGGAAGAACAAAUUUGUUAGUAACUGAACAAAUCUUGACGGUACCUAACCAGAAAGCCACGGCU